AGGAAAGCAGGGGAUCGCAAGACCUUGCGCUUUUGGAGCGGCCGAUGUCUGAUUAGCUAGUUGGUGAGGUAAAGGCUUACCAAGGCUUCGAUCAGUAGCUGGUCUGAGAGGACGACCAGCCACACUGGGACUGAGACACGGCCCAGACUCCUACGGGAGGCAGCAGUGGGGAAUUUUGGACAAUGGGGGCAACCCUGAUCCAGCCAUGCCGCGUGAGUGAAGAAGGCCUUCGGGUUGUAAAGCUCUUUCAGCCGGAACGAAACGGUCACGGUUAAUAACUGUGAUCACUGACGGUACCGGAAGAAGAAGCACCGGCUAACUACGUGCCAGCAGCCGCGGUAAUACGUAGGGUGCGAGCGUUAAUCGGAAUUACUGGGCGUAAAGCGUGCGCAGGCGGUUUUGUAAGUCAGAUGUGAAAUCCCCGGGCUUAACCUGGGAACUGCGUUUGAAACUACAAGGCU
rnacentral:rRNA from 1 species